GGAAACAAUGUGUCAUAAAUGCUUGAAGGGUUUUGUGCCUUAACUAUUACCAUAAGUCUUUUCAAGUGUACUGAUCAUCACAUGCUUAUUAAGUAGUAGUACAAAGUAAAGAGCCAAUGGAAAUCUGUUAAGUUAUAAUGGUUGUGUAUUUCAUUAACACUGACGAUGAGAGGAUUGACUUUUACCUUUCCUAGACGCAGAAAAGCCAUCUGCAUGUAGAUCUAGUGAGCAUGGAGGGUUUUCCAUCUUGACACUGCAGGCGAAAAAUAUACAUUUCAAACAAACAAGGAGAAACUGAGUAGCAGUCUGUCCUAGGAUUUAUGGAGGAUGGAGUAAGCAACAUUUUGAAGCAAAGGACAGUGUUGUGACUGUUGUCUCCUGACAGACGAGGAAGAUUCGUCUUCAAACCAGUUCACUGCUGUAAAGUAAGAACCACCCCUGAGACAUAAAAAGGAUGUGGUAUCCAGCAUCUUGUAUUAUUUACGUUGCACACAAGAGGUCCUGGCCAUACCAUUUGAGUAUAUGUGCCUUGGUACUUCCAAGUCUGUGACUGCAAGAGUGUGAGUGAAUGAAAUCUAUGAGAGGUUGAAGUGGGUAAAAUCAAUUUCCAUACAAGUUCGCUGUCAAAAAUUUUCAACACUAUUUGUAAAAGACAGACUUUACAGCUGAGGACAAGCAACUGUACAUUGUGAUCAUGUUGGUUAUACUAUAUUAGUUAACAUACUUCCAAAUCAGCAUGUUCGGUGGUAGGCAGAAGAAAUUAUGAAGUUGAUUUCCCUGUGGCUUUCUGAUGUGUAUCUCACGUCUGCCUCCUGCCUCUUUAAUCUGCUGAAACCCUGAAAUCUUCUCCAUGAUAACCAUGGCCCACUUCCAGUGAGAAUCAGACAUAGCUUCAUUUCUGCAAAGGGCAACAAAUUAUAACAAUUACGGGCCUAACAUAGUCCUCUUCCUUGUAAAGUGUGGAAAUUGUAAGCACUUGAUACAUACCCACCAGUCUCAAGGACCUUUGUGGUGUUUUCAGGCCAACAUAAUUAGCGCUCAGUUGAUGGGCAGACAGAUAUUCAGCUAACUAUGAUGACAUUAGCUUUAUUUCCUUAGGACACCAAGCUCUAUAUAAGACAGCAUUAAUUCUGGUUGAGCAAAACCUGUUGUGGUUUUCAUCCAAUGGGACCAUAAAUGAGAGUCCUUCAUAGAAGGAGAAUAAGGAAUAAGUGGUAGUACUGACAAAAAUCCCAGGCUCUGAACUGAAGCAGCGAAAAGGUAUGAGAGAGAACCUGUGAGAGCACUGCAUUGAUUUUUCAAGAGAGAGGGACUGUCUGUCUUCUGGACAGUCAUCUACAGCAGAUACAGCUGACGAGGUUAAAUGGAGGCCUCAUCCAAAGAAGCAUCAAGGACGGAAGCACUG